ensembl:lncRNA
GUUUUCAGCUGCUAAGUUUAGGGGUAGUCUGUGACCUAGAAAUAGAUUAAAAAUAUAGCUGAGGAUGAGAAUGUGCUGGCAUGGAACAUCUGCAGAAAGCAUAUGACAGGAUAAGACUGUGUGGCCCAGACUUGCUUUGGUGGAACCUCAGGCACCAAAGGCCGCCGUGCAGACUCCACUGACUUAUCCCAUAUCAGAGAGAAGACGAAGGGAAGCUCCUUUGGGAACUGAGGGAAGGAGCCCAAACCAUUGGAAACAGCUGCUAAUUUCCAUGUCCUUUUAGGAUAUGUCCUGCUUCAUGAUCGUGAGAGCCAAAAUAAAUUCACAAUUCCUCUGUUAGUCACAAUACCAGGAUUUCUGAGUGCCCAUCCUAGUGACAGUGAGAGGGCAGUCUUUUCGCUUCCUAAGGUAAGUCCAGGGAUCCCAGAGUGUCUACCAGUCCAAAGGAGGCCAUCCUGGUUAGUUGUUCCUCGUGAAAGAGAAAACCAGAAAAACUGGUUUAGCCACUGAAGGGUGCCCAGUUCUCAACCGCACAGGCUUCCCCACACCAGAAAUUCCAGCAGUUUCUCAGAGAAUAUCUGAGGAAAUGAAAUAUUGCCUUCGCAAAACACCCAGGGACCCAUCCUGAAGGAACAACCGAAGGAUGUCCCAACUUGUUAGAACAAAGAAGUCCAGGCUGUUGGUAUAGGCUGUCCUCCUGGGAUGCUGAGUCAGGUCGCAUGCUUCCUGGGAAAGAAGGGGAGAUUCAGGUUGUGCCGAUAGUGUGGGGACUUCUCCUGGCCCGUCUGGGCUUGCCAUUCCCCCCGGCCUCUGAGGCUUUCGUGUUUCUUCCUCCCUCUUCUGCCUUCUAAGUCUCCACGUGCUCUUCCCUCCAUCAUCUCAGCUUCUUUCCACCAUACCUCGCUGCCCAAGGUACUCAGAAACCAAGGCCUUUUCCCCCAGGAUCCCCUUCCAUAUAGUCCCACUCUUCUCUCAACGAUUCCUCUUUCAGGAAAUUCCUGAGGGGCUUGACUAUAGCACCGUGGGGAUCUCUGUUUCAGAGAUGGUGUGGGGGUGAGGGCAGGGACCCUCACCCUAACUCACUUCCCACCUCCCAUGACAGGAGGAAGGUUUGCUUCCACUGUCCUGGACCCAGCAUUCAAGGAUGGGCCUAGGAGCCAGGGCAGGACCCCAGUGGGACUGAUGUGCCCUCCAGUGGCCCCACGCCACAAUGGCACCACCACUCUCAUGCCCCAGUGCAGACCUCACUGCCACAAUGGCCCUCAGGACCCUGCCUGCCCACCUCCAUCCCUGGGCUGGCUGCCUCUCCCCUUGAACGUAGGUUACAGCUGAGGAGGGAAGCGAGGUCACUUGGGAGCUCUUUGUCUCUUGCACUGAGUUUAUAGUUAUUCCUACUACAUUCCGGAGAACUUUUAAGACCCCUGGGAAGGGCUGGGGAGGUGCCUUUUACGCUCCAGGCUCUGUGAGCUUGUAGGAAGGCCAGAGAAAUGGUCAGGCCUGGGGUGGCAUCUCAGCCAUUCUUGGGCCUCGAGGGAUGGAGGCACGGCCUUCCCACACAGCCAGAACGGCCCCAGAAGAGGAGUCUGCUUUCUCCCCUGGGAAAUGGGAAUAAUAAGAGCAUAAAAGGAGGUAAAGCCUUUUAUUCAGCCUUUGAAAGGUGAAUUUUCCCGGAGGAGUGAACACACUGGUAGGCAGGGCAAUGGUGAAGCAGAGCGAGGCCCUGAGACUUCAGAAUUUCAGGUGGCUCUGAGUCCUGGCAGCAAAGCCAGGCAAGCAAAGGCAAGGACUGAUUCUUUGACACACAUCAGUCUCUGUCUGGAGAACCUCAGGAACAUGAUUUGUGGGCCUGGCUACAUGUUUGUUGAAUCAAAAUAUGACUGAGUCAGUGAAUGACUGAAUGCACGAUUCCGGGUGAGCUCACUCAGCUCCGGCCCCAGAAUUCCCUGUGGUGCUGCUGAGAAUUUGCCUCCGCGCCACCUGCUGGCGGGCACUGACUCUGGCCAGCUCCUGCUAGAGUUGGAAGUUUGUCACCUGGAUGCGGAAGGGGAUGAUGGAAGGACGGGGACCAGCCUCUCUAUGGAUGACCUGCUCCCUCAGGAACAGCUGCUACCUGGUUUAUCCUGAUCCUUCUGAAGGUCAAUCAAGAAAACAUAUCAAAGGCUUGGAAAAGGCAAAAGAGAUUCCUGGGUGUCCUUUCAGAGGAAGGCUGGGUGUCAGCGAGGUGUCCUCUGAUGAUGAUCUGAUUCUUUAGGGAUUGACCCUAAGCUAACAUCUGUGCCAGUCUUCCUCUACUUUGUAUAUGGGACGCUGCCACAGCAUGGCUUGAUGAGUAGUGCGAAGGUCCGAGCCAGGGAUUGGAAUCUGUGAACCCCGGACCGCCAAAGCAGAAAGCGUGAACUUAACCACUACGCCAUGGAGGGACCGCCGUGCCCAGUUGGUUUAAAUCAGCGCCUCUGAGAUGGCAGCACCAGGAGACCCCUUGGGCUCCAAGCAUCCAACCCCCAUGAGACAGCAGAGCUUCAUCCUGCAAGGCACGGCACCAAGUCAAAGAACUGGGUGAGCCCCCUCACACGGAGGGCGCUGGAUAGAGACGUUUAGUGUAACCAGAAAUUCAUUCUUCCCUCCAGCAAAUGUUUAUUAAGCAUCCACUAUGUUCCAGCUGUUAGAAGCCGUGGGGUUGCAACAGACAAUAAACCAAUAUAGUCUGUGUGAGUGUGUGUGUGUAUGUGUGUGAGAUGUUGAAAAGUUCUCCUAGGGAGAAAAAUUAAGACGGGAAGGGGAACAAGGAAUGUGGAAAUGGUUUGCAAUUUGAAAUAGGAUGGUGCAGGAAGGCCUUCUGGGAAGGGACCUUUGAAUAGAGAUCAGAAGAUAUGGUGGGAAUAAGCCAUGAAGACAUCUGAGGGAAGAGGGUCCCAGGCAGAGGGGACAGCAAGUGCAAAUGCCCUGGGGCAAGAUUGUGCUUGUCAUGGUUCAAAGAGCAGUGAAGAAGCCAGAGAGGGGGCUGAGGCAGGGGGCCAGAUGGAGUAAGGCCUUCCAGGUCACCAGGAUGCCCCAAAGUGGAUGUAAUACAUAGUGACAAAGGUACACAAUAGGAGUGAGGCCCAGAGCCGCUCAUUAGGCAACUCUAAACUUGUGUCUCAUUACCCAACCACACCUCCUGCAGUGCACUAUGAAUUAAUAUUUUCUAUAAAUCCUGUAAUUAUCUUGUGAAUAGCACAAUUAUAUUGCAUUGUAUUUGUAUGUGUUAAAAGCGCUCAUUUGUUAAAUGUAAACAUUUGAAAUAUACCAUGUAUUAUGCAGCCCUUUUCACACUUUUAUUUAAUAAACUGGAAGCCUUAAAAUUGGAAGCAGAAGGGCCUUUUCUUCCAAGAGUUCCCUGGAGGCAGGUCUACACUCACACUCAUCCACACCCUCACAUACACCACACUGACUCACCCACUCACCCACAGUGCCCAGCCAGAAGCCCGGGCUGGGAGGCAGAGACCUGUUCACCUGCCACUCGGGGUGGCCUCGGGCAGAUCCCUGCAGUGUCUUCCACUCCCUCCACCUCACCUUGCCCAGCCCUUAACAGUUUAUAGACAGCGUCCUUGUCCUCAUGGACCUUCACUACAAAAUGGGCAGGGGUUAAUGUGUCCAUUUUACAGACAGGUAAACUGAGGCUCUGAGUGGUGCCUGCUCAAAGCGG